UUAUUCAACUUCCUGGUGAUUCUCCACCACUUUAUGUAUCCAAAUCAAGCUUCUAACAAAGUGAUUCAUCCUGGUUUGAUUGGAACGACGAAGAAGCUGUGCUAUUCCCAAACUGGGAAACUGGAAUCACCUGAUUUGAAAGUGGGAUAACUUCUUCAUGCCAACUCCUAUUGUUAACUUGAAGAGUAGAAGUGGAGAAGCAAAGGAUGAGAGUUGAGUUGAGAAUGGUGCAAAGAUAGGGCAAGAGCUUAAGAGAUUGCCUAUCAAGAGUUAUGAAGUGUCUUAAGAUAGCUAGAAGUCUCUUAUGGUGGUUCUAAGCAAGGGAAAAGUCUAGGAAAGACUUAGAAGAGUGCUGAGGAGCAAAUGGACGAGUGUGCAAAGAUAGGGCAAGGCCGGUACGGCCAUGUACGGACCCAGUACGGAUCUGUACUGAUGGUGGACGUACCAGAUGGAGCAUACUCGGCCAUUUGUGAGUCUUAGGCUUGGUGCAAACUUAGGGUAUCAGUGUACGGACAUGGCAUGAUCCGUACAUGCUCUAAUGUUUGUGAUCAACCUAACUUGAGUCUCAAGGAAGAAGAGACUCGUGUGGCUUCAUGUAUAAAGGAGCCAUGAGGAUAUUCAAAUCCAAGAAGGGCGCAGAUGUCUUUAGCCUUCUCUUGUUACCGUUUGGAGAUAAGACAGGCUGGCUGUGCAAGCUGUCCAUGAGCUGUGCUUUGACUAUGUAUCUAGACAGAUACAUGGCAAGAUGAAGAGAAGCCUUAAAGCAUCCAAUCACACGCUAAAGAGAGACCAGCCAAUAAGAAGAACUAUCAUGAAGAUAAAGACUAGCAUAACUCUCUCCAUCUCAACCAUCCAAACUCCAAGAAGAUUAUGAGCCAUUAGAUUUAGGUUUUAUGUUAUUGCAAAUGUAAAAGCCUAUAUAAAGCUCAUAAUGUCGAUUGUAAACUCUUAAGAGAGUAUGGGGGGGUUUCCCCAUCUCCUUCAUAAUUAUAAAAGUGUGUUCUUGAUCAGAUUCCCUUAAUCUCCCCUUUCUUAGUCUCUAAUCUCUUAAUCUCUCAAAGUCUCUUUGUUUCUGAUUCAAGUUCAUACUAGUUUCAUCAGACCUCGUAUCCAACUAGUUCAAGACCUUAUCUUUGCCUUUAAUGGCUUUUCAUACACAUACACAGCCAGAGCUCUCAAAUCUCACACCUAUGAGAUUUAUUCAACUUCCUGGUGAUUCUCCACCACUUUAUGUAUCCAAAUAAAGCUUCUUACAAAGAGAUUCAUCCUGGUUUGAUUGGAACGACGAAGAAGCUGUGCUAUUCCCAAACUGGGAAACUGGAAUCACCUGAUUUGAAAGUGGGAUAACUUCUUCAUCCAAGCUCCUAUGAGAUUUAUUCAACUUCCUGUUGAUUCUCCACCACUUUAUGUAUCCAAAUCAAGCUUCUUACAAAGUGAUUCAUCCUGGUUUGUUUGGAAUGACGACGAAGCCGUUCUAUUACCAAACUGGGAAACUGGAAUCAACUGAUUUGAAAGUGGGAUAACUUCUUCAUGCCAACUCCUAUGAGAUUUAUUCAACUUCCUGGUGAUUCUCCACCACUUUAUGUAUCCAAAUCAAGCUUCUUACAAAGAUCCUAUGAGAUUUAUUCAACUUCCUGGUGAUUCUUCACCACUAUAUGUAUCCAAAUGAAGCUUCUUACAAAGAAAUUCUUCCUGGUUUGAUUGGAACGACGAAGAAGCUGUGCUAUUCCCAAACUGGGAAACUGGAGUCACCUGAUUUGAAAGUGGGAUAACUUCUUCAUGCCAACUCCUAUGAGAUUUAUUCAACUUCCUGGUGAUUCUCCACCACUUUAUGUAUCCAAAUCAAGCUUCUUACAAAGAAAUUCAUCCUGGUUUGAUUGGAACGACGAAGAAGCUGUGCUAUUCCUAAACUGGGAAACUAGAAUCACCUGAUUUGAAAGUGGGCUAACUUCUUCAUGCCAGCUCCUAUGAGAUUUAUUCAACUUCCUGGUGAUUCUCCACCACUUUAUGUGUCCAAAUCAAGCUUCUUACUGUUGAGAUGAGCUGAGUAUAUGGAUAUGAAGAGAUAAGGAGUUGAAGAGAAGAGGAGAUGAAGUACUUAGGGAAGUUUGGGAGAGUAUGGUACGGCC
rnacentral:lncRNA from 1 species